rnacentral:rRNA from 1 species
GAUGAACGCUGGCGGCGUGCCUAAUACAUGCAAGUCGAGCGAACAGACGAGGAGCUUGCUCCUCUGACGUUAGCGGCGGACGGGUGAGUAACACGUGGAUAACCUACCUAUAAGACUGGGAUAACUUCGGGAAACCGGAGCUAAUACCGGAUAAUAUAUUUAACCGCAUGGUUCAAUAGUGAAAGACGGUUUUGCUGUCCCUUAUAAAUGGAUCCCCGCCUCUUUGGCUAGUUGGUAAGGUAACGGCUUACCAAGGCAACGAUGCGUAGCCGACCUGACAGGGGAAUGGGCAACACUGGAAGUAGAAAACGGACAAGACUCCUACGGGAGGCGGCGGAGGGAAUUCUUCGGCAAGGAGCGAAGGCCGAACGAGCCAAGACCGGGUAAGUAAUAAGGGUCUUCGGAUCUAAAACCCUGGUUAUAAGGAAAAAACGAAGGUGUAAGGAAAAGCGCACGACUUGACGGUACCUAAUCAGAAAGCCACGGCUAACUACGUG